rnacentral:rRNA from 1 species
UGUGCAGCAGUCAGGAAUUUUGGACAAUGGGGGAAACCCUGAUCCAGCAACGCCGCGUGGGCGAUGAAGGUCUUCGGAUCGUAAAGCCCUUUUCUGUGGGAAGAGGCAGGACGGUACCACAGGAAUAAGUCUCGGCUAACUACGUGCCAGCAGCCGCGGUAAAACGUAGGAGGCAAGCGUUAUCCGGAUUUACUGGGCGUAAAGCGCAUGCAGGCGGCCGUGCAAGUUGGGCGUGAAAUCUCUCGGCUUAACCGGGAGGGGUCGUCCAAUACUGCGGGGCUUGGGUGCAGGAGAGGGAAGCGGAAUUUCCAGUGUAGCGGUAAUAUGCGCAGAUAUUGGAAAGAACACCAGUGGCGAAGGCGGCUUCCUGGUCUGUAACCGACGCUAAGAUGCGAAAGCUAGGGGAGCGAACGGGAUUAGAUACCCCGGUAGUCUA